AAGAAGCAUCCUGUCUGCAAUGCUUCUCACAAGUAUUUGAAGAAACAAGAUGCUUGGGGAAAAGUACUAUGAUCAGUGUAAUAUAGCCUUAUUUGAGAGGAGCUGUCUCAUCACUUUAGCAGGAUGGUGUAAACCAGGAUGACUUUAACAGUUUCAUCAUUUUUUAUGUAAUUUCAAAGCUUCAGUUGUCUCAUUUCUGUUAAGUAUUGAGUGUAUUAAGUAUUGAAUUGACGUGCUGAAGGAAGCUAAUGGUUCUAGUGCUGAAGGAA